rnacentral:rRNA from 1 species
UACGAAGGGGGCUAGCGUUGUUCGGAUUUACUGGGCGUAAAGCGCGUGUAGGCGGGUCGUUAAGUUGGGGGUGAAAUCCCGGAGCUCAACUCCGGAACUGCCUCCAAAACUGGCGACCUGGAGCAGAUGAGAGGCGAGUGGAAUUCCGAGUGUAGAGGUGAAAUUCGUAGAUAUUCGGAGGAACACCAGUGGCGAAGGCGACUCGCUGUCAUCUUGCUGACGCUGCGACGCGAAAGCGUGGGGAGCAAACAGG